GAACAUAAAACCACUAUUUUUCUUUUAAAUUCUUAAUUUAGAUUUGACAAAUAUAUAUUACUCUUUACCCCAAGAUUGCAUUAUUGGGUUAAUUUUUUUUUUAUCAUGAACAUGUAAAAAUACAGUGAUACAUUUUAGAAAGAAGAUAGACAUAAAGCAGGCCAACAAAAGUUGUGUGUAUUGCUUCUGACUUAAGUGUGAUUAUUCCAUCACCUCUGAUUCCUUAAAGAGUUCCAUCUGGUUACUUAGAUGCUUGACAGUGCAACAAUAUGUCACAUACAUAACACAUAUUAUGGUUUAUAAACAUUUUAAUAAGUUUAUUUGCAUAAUACCUGCGACAUAACCCAAAUGAUCUAUUAGAACAGUCAUGUAUGAAAGAUUUUACUUGUAUUAAAUUAUUUUUAGAUUAAAAGCAAAUUGAACACAAAAUUCUGCCAGAGUUAACGUUUUCCCUCCACUAGAUUAUGUACUAAUGAAAACAUAUUCCAUAAUUUAGCAAAUGACAAAGAAAAGGAACUCUCCCAGUUUACCUGAAAA
rnacentral:lncRNA from 1 species